rnacentral:rRNA from 1 species
UACAGAGGUCCCAAGCGUUGUUCGGAUUCAUUGGGCGUAAAGGGUGCGUAGGCGGCGCGGUAAGUCGGGUGUGAAAUCUCGGGGCUUAACUCCGAAACUGCAUUCGAUACUGCCGUGCUUGAGGACUGGAGAGGAGACUGGAAUUUACGGUGUAGCGGUGAAAUGCGUAGCUAUCGUAAGGAAGACCAGUGGCGAAGGCGGGUCUCUGGACAGUUCCUGACGCUGAGGCACGAAGGCCAGGGGAGCAAACGGG